UACGGAGGGGGCUAGCGUUGUUCGGAAUUACUGGGCGUAAAGCGCACGUAGGCGGCUUUGUAAGUUAGAGGUGAAAGCCCAGGGCUCAACCCUGGAAUUGCCUUUAAGACUGCAUCGCUUGAAUCAUGGAGAGGUGAGUGGAAUUCCGAGUGUAGAGGUGAAAUUCGUAGAUAUUAGGAAGAACACCAGUGGCGAAGGCGGCUCACUGGCCCGGUACUGACGCUGAGGCGCGAAAGCGUGGGGAGCAAACAGG
rnacentral:rRNA from 1 species